AUUGAACGCUGGCGGCAGGCCUAACACAUGCGAGUCGAGCGGAUGAAGGGAGCUUGCUCCUGGAUUCAGCGGCGGACGGGUGAGUAAUGCCUAGGAAUCUGCCUGGUAGUGGGGGAUAACGUCCGGAAACGGGCGCUAAUACCGCAUACGUCCUGAGGGAGAAAGUGGGGGAUCUUCGGACCUCACGCUAUCAGAUGAGCCUAGGUCGGAUUAGCUAGUUGGUGGGGUAAAGGCCUACCAAGGCGACGAUCCGUAACUGGUCUGAGAGGAUGAUCAGUCACACUGGAACUGAGACACGGUCCAGACUCCUACGGGAGGCAGCAGUGGGGAAUAUUGGACAAUGGGCGAAAGCCUGAUCCAGCCAUGCCGCGUGUGUGAAGAAGGUCUUCGGAUUGUAAAGCACUUUAAGUUGGGAGGAAGGGCAGUAAGUUAAUACCUUGCUGUUUUGACGUUACCAACAGAAUAAGCACCGGCUAACUUCG
rnacentral:rRNA from 1 species